CAAACCCAUUUAAUUCUACACAGAGGUAGAAGACUAGAGUCUUGAUAUUUGGAGGAACUGAAUGUUGAAGAGGGUUGAAUAGACAGAACGGUUUCAGUUUUAAAGGCCAUUACAAACAUCUCUGCAAUCUACUCCUCUGUAUCAUAUGGAUGACAGAGAAUCAGACCAAGCAAAACUCCCAUUAAAGUAAAUGAAAAUUGCGCCUGUGUAAAGGCAUCUGUAACCCAAUAAAGGUGAAAUGGGAGCCACUCUUUCAUCACUUUAUUAGGAGAAGCAAGAACUGUCCUGCAGUGUUAUUUAACAGAAGAAACACAAAUGAAGACAUACUAGUUAUUAGGAAGGCAAAGAAAGGAGAAUACACAUCUCGAAGAAGGAUUUCCUGGUUGUGUCCUGGACCUGAAGAAAAGCAUAGAUAGAUAGAUAGAUAGAUAGAGAUAUUUACACAUAUAUAUACAUACAUAAUAUAAAUAUUUUAUAUGUAUAUGUAUAUGUAUAUUUAAUUCUUGCAUUCAGAACGUUAGGAGACCUGUUUUAUUUAAGAACAUGGAACUACAAGAGUCAAUGCAUUUUUCUGAAAAAGGGAAUACCUGUAGUAUCAUAAGCAAACACUUCUGUUGUCAUUCAUUGCUGUAACAAUAUAUACCUAAAACAACUUAGAUAGUUCUAUGGAAAAAAAUAAAUAAAAUAAAAUAAAAUAAAAUAAAAUAAAA
rnacentral:lncRNA from 1 species